rnacentral:rRNA from 1 species
GAGAGGGUUUACUCUCUUAGUGGCGAACGGGCGAGUAACACAUAUUUAACUUACCUGCACGAGGAGAAUAGCAACUCGAAAGAGUUAUUAAUACUCCAUAGGUUUGAGACUCAAAUUAAAGGGAGCGUUCUGGGAAACUAGAGCUUCGCGAGCAGAGAGGAGUAUGUCCUAUUAGGUUGUUGGUGGGGUAAUUGCCUACCAAGCCGAUGAUGGGUAGCUGGACUGAGAGGUCGACCAGCCGCAAUGGGAUUGAAAUACGGCCCAUAUUCCUACGGGAAGCAGCAGUGAGGAAUUUUUCACAAUGGACGAAAGUCUGAUGGAGCAAUACCAUGUGAACGAUGAAGGUCUUCUGAUUGUAAAGUUCUUUUAUUUAGGAAAAAAAGCUUGAUAGGAAAUGAUUAAGCCUUGAUUGUACUAAAUGAAUAAGUGACAGCUAACUAUGUGCCAGCAGCUGCGGUAAAACAUAGGUCACGAGCAUUAUCCGGAUUUAUUGGGCGUAAAGGAAGCGUAGGCGGACAAAUUGAUCUAUUGUUAAAGGCACUUGCUCAACGAGUUGUUUGUGAUAGAUAUCGUUUGUCUAGAAUUAGUUAGGAGAUACUGGAAUUCAAUGUGUAGCGGUGGAAUGCGUAGAUAUAUUGAGGAACACCAGAGGCUAAGGCGAGUAUCUAGGACAUAAUUGACGCUGAGGCUUGAAAGCGUGGGGAGCAAAUGGGAUUAGAUACCCCAGUAGUCCACGCCGUAAACGAUGGGUAUUAGGUAUUUGGUCUAGGACUGAGUGCUGUAGCUAACGCGUUAAAUACCCCGCCUGGGUAGUAUAUAUGCAAAUAUGAAACUCAAAGAAAUU